rnacentral:rRNA from 1 species
AGCUAUAAUGCAGUCGAGCGGACAGAUGGGAGCUUGCUCCCUGAUGUUAGCGGCGGACGGGUGAGUAACACGUGGGUAACCUGCCUGUAAGACUGGGAUAACUCCGGGAAACCGGGGCUAAUACCGGAUGCUUGUUUGAACCGCAUGGUUCAAACAUAAAAGGUGGCUUCGGCUACCACUUACAGAUGGACCCGCGGCGCAUUAGCUAGUUGGUGAGGUAACGGCUCACCAAGGCGACGAUGCGUAGCCGACCUGAGAGGGUGAUCGGCCACACUGGGACUGAGACACGGCCCAGACUCCUACGGGAGGCAGCAGUAGGGAAUCUUCCGCAAUGGACGAAAGUCUGACGGAGCAACGCCGCGUGAGUGAUGAAGGUUUUCGGAUCGUAAAGCUCUGUUGUUAGGGAAGAACAAGUGCCGUUCAAAUAGGGCGGCACCUUGACGGUACCUAACCAGAAAGCCACGGCUAACUACGUGCCAGCAGCCGCGGUAAUACGUAGGUGGCAAGCGUUGUCCGGAAUUAUUGGGCGUAAAGGGCUCGCAGGCGGUUUCUUAAGUCUGAUGUGAAAGCCCCCGGCUCAACCGGGGAGG